rnacentral:rRNA from 1 species
UGGGGAAUACUGGACAAUGGGCGAAAGCCUGAUCCAGCCAUGCCGCGUGUGUGAAGAAGGUCUUCGGAUUGUAAAGCACUUUAAGUUGGGAGGAAGGGCAGUAAGCGAAUACCUUGCUGUUUUGACGUUACCGACAGAAUAAGCACCGGCUAACUCUGUGCCAGCAGCCGCGGUAAUACAGAGGGUGCAAGCGUUAAUCGGAAUUACUGGGCGUAAAGCGCGCGUAGGUGGUUCGUUAAGUUGAAUGUGAAAGCCCCGGGCUCAACCUGGGAACUGCAUCCAAAACUGGCGAGCUAGAGUAGGGCAGAGGGUGGUGGAAUUUCCUGUGUAGCGGUGAAAUGCGUAGAUAUAGGAAGGAACACCAGUGGCGAAGGCGACCACCUGGGCUCAUACUGACACUGAGGUGCGAAAGCGUGGGGAGCAAACAGG